rnacentral:rRNA from 1 species
CCCGGGUCUUGUACACACCGCCCGUCACACCGUGGGAGUGGGUUUCACCAGAAGUAGGUAGUCUAACCGCAAGGAGGGCGCUUACCACGGUGGGAUUCAUGACUGGGGUG